UACAUUGACACAACUCACAAGUACUUCACAAUGGUUAUACUAUCCUUGAAUUGUUUGAUCCAUCUUGCUUGUUAACAGCCAAUUUCCAAGCAAAUAUGCUGAUCGAUUAAAUGGUGCUAGCGUAGCGUAGCGACGACAUAAUAGUUGGUUGCACAGGUGGCAAAACGACUACAAAACUUCCCUAGCAUAUCAGAGAGAAUUGCAUGAAUACGAUCAUCUGCAGAGUCACGUAUUUAUGAUGCUUCCCAAGCCCACCAUAUCCCUGCACGCACCUAGACCAUACCAUAUGCUGUAGUGGGCAGCCAUUGCCUACUGGUCCUCCAUGACUCCUCGCUGCUCAACUUAUUUUACUACACUUAUCUACAAGAGCUCGUCUACAAUACUCUCUACUGGUAGUAUUCUACUACCGAUAUUUUCAUCGAUAUGAGAAGCUCGACUGUUGAUUUAAAGUUCUAC
rnacentral:lncRNA from 1 species